rnacentral:rRNA from 1 species
AGCGAACGCUGGCGGCAGGCCUAACACAUGCAAGUCGAACGAUCCUUCGGGAUAGUGGCGGACGGGUGAGUAACACGUAGGAACGUGCCCUUUGGUUCGGAACAACUCAGGGAAACUUGAGCUAAUACCGGAUGUGCCCUUCGGGGGAAAGAUUUAUCGCCAUUGGAGCGGCCCGCGUAGGAUUAGCUAGUUGGUGGGGUAAUGGCCCACCAAGGCUCCGAUCCUUAGCUGGUCUGAGAGGAUGAUCAGCCACACUGGGACUGAGACACGGCCCAGACUCCUACGGGAGGCAGCAGUGGGGAAUCUUGCGCAAUGGGCGAAAGCCUGACGCAGCCAUGCCGCGUGAAUGAUGAAGGUCUUAGGAUUGUAAAAUUCUUUCACCGGGGACGAUAAUGACGGUACCCGGAGAAGAAGCCCCGGCUAACUUCGUGCCAGCAGCCGCCGUAAAAC